CCUGAGAAACCCAAAAGAUCGAAUGGGGAGAUUCAUCGUCAGCGGCGCUGGCUUCCGUGUGGAUUGCGAUGAUCGGGACUUCGGUCUCGCGUCACGCGUCUACUGCGGUAUGUCCGGCGUCGUCGGCGUGCACUUCUCCCCUAGUAGGACGUCGCGACCCGUUGAGUGUCGGACCGAUGGCCGUUUGGUCGACUGUUUCGUCCAGCGUUCACGCGUUGACGGAGCAGACCAAUUCGGUCGAGCGUCCGGCUGCUCGGCGGUAUAGAACGCUUAUAAACGGUAACGAGCCGCACAAAGUGCGUUCAGGCUCGUCGGCAGGCUCGUCUCGCUCGGAUUUACGGACCUAGUGCCGUUGCCGGGUGCUUGGCGGGCUGUUAGUCGACGGUGUCCUCGGACUGGCUCCCUGCAUUCGAUUUUCAGGAUUUACCGGUCGGCGACGCUACUGCUUUGGGUACUUUC
rnacentral:rRNA from 1 species